rnacentral:rRNA from 1 species
UACAGAGGGUGCGAGCGUUAUUCGGAAUUAUUGGGCGUAAAGAGCACGUAGGCGGUUUGGUAAGUCUGAUGUGAAAGCCCUGGGCUCAAUCCAGGAAGUGCAUUGGAUACUGUCAGACUAGAGUAUAGGAGAGGAGAGCGGAAUUCCUGGUGUAGAGGUGAAAUUCGUAGAUAUCAGGAGGAACAACAGUGGCGAAGGCGGCUCUCUGGACUAUAACUGACGCUGAGGUGCGAAAGCGUGGGGAGCAAACAGG